rnacentral:rRNA from 1 species
GACGAACGCUGGCGGCGUGCUUAACACAUGCAAGUCGAACGGUGAAGCGCCUUCCUUUUUGGUGGGUGUGGAUGAGUGGCGAACGGGUGAGUAACACGUGAGUAACCUGCCCCCUUCUUCUGGAUAACCGCAUGAAAGUGUGGCUAAUACGGGAUAUUCUGGGUCUGUCGCAUGAUGGGUCUGGGAAAGAUAUUGUUUCGGUUGGGGAUGGGCUCGCGGCCUAUCAGCUUGUUGGUGGGGUGAUGGCCUACCAAGGCGGUGACGGGUAGCCGGCCUGAGAGGGUGGACGGUCACACUGGGACUGAGACACGGCCAAGACUCCUACGGGAGGCAGCAGUGGGGAAUAUUGCACAAUGGGCGCAAGCCUGAUGCAGCGACGCCGCGUGAGGGAUGGAGGCCUUCGGGUUGUGAACCUCUUUCGCCAGUGAAGCAGGCCUGCCUCGUUUGUGGGUGGGUUGACGGUGGCUGGAUAAGAAGCGCCGGCUAACUACGUG